rnacentral:rRNA from 1 species
AGGACGACCAGCCACACUGGAACUGAGACACGGUCCAGACUCCUACGGGAGGCAGCAGUGGGGAAUUUUGGACAAUGGGCGCAAGCCUGAUCCAGCAAUGCCGCGUGAGUGAAGAAGGCCUUCGGGUUGUAAAGCUCUUUUGUCAGGGAAGAAACGGCUCCGGCUAAUAUCCGGGGCUAAUGACGGUACCUGAAGAAUAAGCACCGGCUAACUACGUGCCAGCAGCCGCGGUAAUACGUAGGGUGCAAGCGUUAAUCGGAAUUACUGGGCGUAAAGCGUGCGCAGGCGGUUUUGUAAGUCUGUCGUGAAAGCCCCGGGCUCAACCUGGGAAUUGCGAUGGAGACUGCAAGGCUUGAAUCUGGCAGAGGGGGGUAGAAUUCCACGUGUAGCAGUGAAAUGCGUAGAGAUGUGGAGGAACACCGAUGGCGAAGGCAGCCCCCUGGGUCAAGAUUGACGCUCAUGCACGAAAGCGUGGGGAGCAAACAGGAUUAGAUACCCUGGUAGUCCACGCCCUAAACGAUGUCUACUAGUUGUCGGGUUUUAAUUAACUUGGUAACGCAGCUAACGCGUGAAGUAGACCGCCUGGGGAGUACGGUCGCAAGAUUAAAACUCAAAGGAAUUGACGGGGACCCGCACAAGCGGUGGAUGAUGUGGAUUAAUUCGAUGCAACGCGAAAAACCUUACCUACCCUUGACAUGGA